GUGUCAGCCGCCGCGGUAAUACAGAGGGUGCGAGCGUUGUUCGGAAUUACUGGGCGUAAAGCGCGUGUAGGCGGCGGUGUAAGUCGAAUGUGAAAGCCCUCAGCUUAACUGAGGAAGUGCAUUCGAUACUGCAUUGCUUGAAUGCCGGAGGGGAUGGCGGAAUUCCUGGUGUAGAGGUGAAAUUCGUAGAUAUCAGGAGGAACACCUGUGGCGAAGGCGGCCAUCUGGACGGCGAUUGACGCUGAGACGCGAAAGCGUGGGUAGCAAACAGGAUUAGAUACCCCAGUAGUCC
rnacentral:rRNA from 1 species